rnacentral:sRNA from 1 species
GGAUGUGACAGCUCUCUGGCUGUGACAUCUGUCACACCAUUGUGCACACCAGGGUUGAUUCACCUGAUCUGGCUGGUUAGGUGGGGGUCCCCUUCCUCCUUCAUUUCUUAAUCUAUGCUCCCCCCCCCCCAAGCUGUUCACUCUGUCCAAGAGAACCACAGUCCUGGAUAAAGAAGGAUUGUUCUUGGGCCCAGGGUAUGGAUGCGAUGGAACCUCAAAAAAAAAAAAAAAAAAGAGCUCUCCAAUGACAAAAUGUGUAUCAUAUUU